rnacentral:tRNA from 1 species
GCCCCGCUAGCUUAAUACCAAAAAGCGUUAGUUUUGUAAACUAAAGAUGGGUACACCCGCAGGGCA